UGGUGACGAUGGCGGAGAGGUCACACCUGUUCCCAUACCGAACACAGAAGUUAAGCUCUCCAGCGCCGAUAGUAGUUGGGAGUUCCCCCUGCGAGAGUAGGACGUUGCCA
rnacentral:rRNA from 1 species